rnacentral:lncRNA from 1 species
AUGGGUGCGGGGCCCGACGGCGCCCGGGAGCCGGGGGCUGCGCCGCGGAGUGCGAUGGAGUCUCCGGGGAUGAGGCCUGACUUGGUGACCUCCGCAAUCAAGAGGCGUGUGAAAGACAAGAGAGCUUCGAAGACUACCUUGAAUGUUUCUCUUGCUUCAAAAAUCAAAACAAAAAUAAUAAACAAUUCUUCUAUUUUCAAAAUUUCCCUAAAGCAUAACAACAGAGCAUUAGCUCAGGCUCUCAGUAGAGAGAAAGAGAACUCUCGAAGAAUUGCAACUGAAAAGAUGCUAUUGCAAAAAGAAGUGGAGAAACUCAAUUUCAAGAAUACCUUUCUCCAACUAAAGCUGGAUAACUUGAAUAAGAAGCUUAUAGAAAUAGAAUCACUCCUGAGCAAUAACUUGAUAACUGCUAUUGAGAUGAGCAAUCUUUCUGAGUUCCAUCAGAGCUCCUUUCUGCCGUCCACUGGCAAGAAGAAACGACCCAGCAGACAGUGCGAGCUGACACGUCUUCCAUUCGCAAGGGUUCCAUUACCUUCAAAUGAUGAUGAUGAUGAUGAUGACAAAGAGAAAACACCGAGGGACAGCAGUGUUGCGCCGAGGGUGUCACCUGACGCUCCGUCUUCAGGAUCUGUAAGGCAGUCUGCACCAACUCAGCGUACUGUGGACACGUUAUUUCUUAAAGAAAACAGUUGGAACAUGCAAGGUCCGGAGGAUGCAGAGCAUGUUUCUUCUAGUGUCACUGUACCUUCCAAAGAGAGCCAUUCCCACUUAGACCGAAGUUCCCAGCAUGCUGUAGUGGAUGAGAUGACCAGUGACCUGUGCAGCAGCCAUGGGAGGGAGAAGCUGUCCCUGAGUAACGUGACAGCGAGGAAGAAGCGCGGGUCGUGCUGGGCCUCGGGCAGCCCUCCUGCAGGUGUGCCCUGCAGGGCAGGCUCGGGGCAGCAGCGGAGUUUGAGUCCAGCCUUGGGCUGGGGAAUGGAGACGAAGGACUGUGCUAAUGGGAAAAGCAUCACAGUGCCCGGAAACCCGCCAGGCCUUGCUGGCCCGCAGGACCCUCCUGCACCUUGCGAGAAGCCUCGCACAGACAGCGCAGGGCACGUGCAGGGUGGUGGGGACCCCCAGGGACAGGCGACCGUGUACGGAGCUGACAUGGAGCUCACAGCCACCGAUGCCAACACAAUCAUCACCGUUUCCCGGGGCAGCAGGCGUACGAGCAAUAAGAAGAUGAGUGAUUCUGAAGGCCAGGCGCUCAGGAAGGUGAGAGACCGGAGCUCUGAGACAAAGAGAGAGAGGCCAAAGAAAAGAUGUAAAAUGAGCGCAGGCGUGGACGCCGAGGGGCAGGCUGAAAGUGGACCGGAGGGAAGCUGUGCGCUCACAGGUGGCAGGGGGGACUCGGGAGACGCCGAUUCUGUUCCCAGUGCUGCACAGCUGCCUCCAGCAAAGCCACUGAGGAAAACGACCCUUCCUCGGGGCUCUGGCCCAGCGGACGGGCACGGUGCCCAGUGCAGCAGAGAGGAGGAAGGCGAGUCUGUGGGCGGCGAGCAGGGGCUGGCGUCCUCUUCCUCCCCCCGUGCAGGCGGGGCCACCCGAGCAGGAGGCGUGCACCAGCCCCAGAACGGGAUCCCACGAAGUAAAAGUAAAGCUUCCAGGCAGACAUUUGUGAUUCGCAAGUUAGGAAAAGAUUGCUUAUUCCCAAACCAAGAGGGUAUAGAAACCGUUCCUGGAAACCUCGAAGUUGCACAUGAAUUUCAGACAGCUGAUCUUUCCUCCAAAGAAAAUGAAAACUUACGUGCCUGUGAGACCCAGAACAUGGUGACGAUGAAAACGUGUGUCACUGAUAGGCAGCCUGCCCAGCAGGGUCCAUCAAAAGUCAGCAAGCUUAAGCAGAAAGUAAACAGAAAGACAGAAAUAAUUUCUCAGGUAAACCAGAGGUAUGAGGACAAUGGUCAGGAUGUGCAUGCCUCCCAACAGAGGAGCAUCUUCUUCCAACCCCAAGUGGGUAAAGAGACUGUCUCUGGAAACCUAGGCGUUUCAGAAGACUUUCAGAUACUCAGUCCGUUCAUGAGAGAUCAUGGAAACCUAUGUGAUCAUGAGACCCAGAACUUCCUGGAUUUGCACAAUCCAGUCACCCCCAUGUACCCUGUUCAGCAAAAUGAGUCCAGAAUUAAUAAGAAGCUUAGGCAGAAAGUAAAUCGGAAGACACAGAUAAUUUCUGAAGUGAAUCAUUUUGAUGACAAAAGCUGGUGUUGCUCAGAAAAAGGGAACUCUACCUUUCCCCAGAAAGGGAGAGAAACCAUCCCUGGGGACCCGAAAGACUUGAAUGAAUUUCAGCCCCCUGCUCUUCCCACCUGGGACAGUGGGCAGCUGUGUGCUUACGAAACUCAGAACAUUUCAGCAGUGAAAAAGCAGAUCCGUGGUGUGCAGACAGCGUGUCAGAAUGAUUCCGAAGCAAGGAAGCUUAGAGGAAAGGGUCAUCAAAGUGCAGAAAUAAUCUCUGAGCCCACCCGCAGCUGUGUGAGCAGGGGCCAAGGCCUGCAGGCGCUAGAACAGGAUAACUUUGCUUCUCUCACCCAGAAAGAUGCCGAAAUCAUUUCUGAGAACUCAGAAGUCACACGUGAAUUUCAAACAGUUGAUCUUCCCACCAAAGAUCAUGGAAGUUUAUGUGACUACGAGACCCAGAAAAGCUGUGUCACCAGUGUGCAACUUCCUCAGCAAAAAGAAUCAAAAACAAGUAAGAAGCCUAGGCAGAAAGUAAAUCGGAAGACAGAGAUAAUUUCUGACAUGAUCCAGGUGUGUGAGGGUAUCGAUAAUGAUGUACAUGGCCAGAAAAGCUACUCAGAAGAUCUCGAUUUUAAAGUCAGUAAAUCGGAGCCAAGACUCGACCCACAAGGCCUUGUCGGCGAAUCCUGUGUGGAGAUCCACCAUGAUGUGGUUCCACAUCCGUCUAAACUGGUUAAGAAGCACAGGAGGAAGUCAUCAGGCAAGGCAAGGAGCACUUUGAGAAGAGCUCAGAGCACGCUGCCUUUGCCAUCGGCCGGUUCUUCACAGACCCCCGCCACCUCGGAGGCCAGCGGGCCGCACCGCAGCAGUGGGCCCCAGUGUACCGCUCAGGGCCCGGCUGCACAGCCUGAGCCUCAGAGGCCGCGCCCCGUAACUCCAGACACAAAAGGCGACGUUCCCUGGGUGGAAGCGAGGAAAGCCGGGCAGUGCCAGGCCACAGAGGUGACCAGGGCGACACCCAGAGCCAAGCGGGGGAAGACCUCCACAGCGCGUCCUCCGCGCUCCAAGGGAGCCUUGGCCCUCACGCCCCUCGCUGCUCACAGGAGGCCUGCUGGCGGUGAGCACGCGGACCAGGAAAACGGGGGCGGGAGCGACAGGAGUGUCGGCGCCCAGCUGGACUGUUACACGAAAGUGCUUCCGCCGUUUUCUCAGAUACACCCGCCUCCUGUGCAGCGCUCCUCUGAUGGUGUCUCUGAGGGUUCAGCGCCUGAGAGUGUUUCUUCUAGUAAAAUCCUGGUCAUCAAAGACCACUCUGCCCCUGAGCUCUCGCCCAACCGUCAGGGCCGAGGUGACGGGCACGAGAAGACAAAGGAGGUGCGAGCCAGUGUGGGCCGGAGAGCCCAGAAGCCCGAGGCAGGUAACAGAACAUUACAGGACUUGACAAACACCAGCUUCUUUCCAAGGAACACCGCGAAGUCUGCGUGCCAGUCAGGAGAGGGGCCUUCCCCGCCACCGAGCAAGAAACGGAGGUGCACGCCGCUCAGCCUGAAGGAGCCCAGUCUCAAAAGGAAGAUGCGGAGAUGAAGCGAAGGCGGGUUCUGGUUUUCGUGGGUGCUCACGAACAAGAAGUCAGCACAGAAACACGCCCAGCACCGCGGAGAGGGAGCCCUGAGGGAAGGCUCUCUUUUCUCCUCUUCUUUGGCCUUUUCUUGGGGGGUUGAUUUGGUCACUCUUUUUGUUAUUUGUUCAUUCUUAUAUUUAGAUAUAUGUACAUAAAAUAGCUAUUUUUGCAAUAUGAAACUUAUAAUUUCGUUCCUAUAACUUCCUUCUUGCUCAUUUAAGCUCCUUCCUAGGUCACAUCCUUUCACCAAACAAGAGCUGUUCCCCUUUUAACCACAUGUUGUAAUAAAUACUGCUGCACUGGUUAUGUUGUACGCUGCUUGUGCUGUCUUGGGUUGUUUUACUUUUGACUCGCUGGCUGCACGUGAGCGUCGGACCCCUGUGGGGACCUCGUCUCCUCCCCCUCCAGUGGCCAUCAGCUGCUCUGUCUCUCAGACCCCGGCCCCAGGGAGGGGCGUCGGGGGCGGAGAAUUUGGUGCUUAUACCUAACUUCCAGCAAUAAAUAGUGAAUCAGCUGGACUUUACCGCUUUCCAC